rnacentral:rRNA from 2 species
UCUGGUGUCAGCCGCCGCGGUAAAACCAGCACCUCAAGUGGUCAGGAUGAUUAUUGGGCCUAAAGCAUCCGUAGCCGGCUCUAUAAGUUUUCGGUUAAAUCUGUACGCUUAACGUACAGGCUGCCGGGAAUACUGCAGAGCUAGGGAGUGGGAGAGGCAGACGGUACUCGGCGGGAAGGGGUAAAAUCCUUUGAUCUAUUGAUGACCACCUGUGGCGAAGGCGGUCUACCAGAACACGUCCGACGGUGAGGGAUGAAAGCUGGGGGAGCAAACCGGAUUAGAUACCCGGGUAGUCCCAGCUGUAAACUAUGCAAACUCAGUGAUGCAUUGGCUUGUGGCCAAUGCAGUGUUGCAGGGAAGCCGUUAAGUUUGCCGCCUGGGAAGUACGUACGCAAGUAUGAAACUUAAAG